UGGGUAACCUGCCUCAAAGAGGGGAAUAGCCUCCCGAAAGGGAGAUUAAUACCGCAUAAUAUGUUUAGGUCGCAUGACUUUAACAUCAAAGGAUUUUCUUUUAGAAAUUCCACUUUGAGAUGGACCCGCGGCGCAUUAGCUAGUUGGUGAGGUAACGGCUCACCAAGGCAACGAUGCGUAGCCGACCUGAGAGGGUGAUCGGCCACAUUGGAACUGAGACCACGGUCCCAGACCUCCGUAGGAGG
rnacentral:rRNA from 1 species